rnacentral:sRNA from 1 species
AGCAAGAAUACGGAGCUCCUGUGAUUCACACAGCGAAUGAGGAACCAUAACAGGAGCUCGAAGGACUCAAUGUGUUGUGGACCAACUCACGAUUUGUAUAUCGUCUUCGUCAUCAUCCUCUUCGUCAUCAUCCUCUUCGUCAUCAUCCUCUUCGUCAUCAUCCUCUUCGUCAUCAUCCCUCCUUCCUUUACUCAUUUCUCUGAUCCGCUUGAUAGUCAUCUCGACCUUCUCGGUUGUUAACUGCUCCAGCGCGUUUUCAACCUUGGAGGGUGUCAUAAUUCCGGUUUUCCAGCCCGAGGCUACCCAAGUAGGAUCGUCCACAUGGGCAAAGUGGCAAGCGUCACCCAGCAAACACCUUCCAAGCUGAUAAUGUCUACAAGGUUUCGUCCUCCAGGGUCUAGGCCUCGCUACAAGCGGAACAGAUUCUGGGACAACUCGAGCGUGGAGGAAUGCACAGUCAUCGCCAUUGAUGCACCCUGCCGUCGAGUUGAAGAAUUUGCAUGGCAAGGUUUUGGGCUUGUUGCUUUGCCCUUUGGGUUUGUGGUUGGCUGAAUCGCUGUCGGAUGACGAAAGCAGCUCGGGAGACGACGCUGGAAUGAUAUGAAGAAAGGUGCAUUCCUCACCGUGAGGACAGUGUCCUUCGGCAAAGAACUUGCAAGGACGAGCUGUACACCAUAAGGUCAGUAAAGUUGAAAAAUAUGCGGUACGCGACAUACUUCUGUAAUAACUCUUAGGUCUUUUCUUCUCAUUUUCAAACUUCUGCUUAAUCUCAGGGCUCCUCAAUGUUUGCUUCAUAGCAGCGUCCUGAACAGCCCAGCCAGCCGGUGUCCAAAUAACGCCCAAACCUCCUUUAAUGUCAGGAAUCAAAGGAUCCUGGUAAGCCCCGAGUGAAAUGGGGGACAUGGGCAUACCCCAAGGGUAAGCGGGAGCCGUGAACGGGAGGAAUGACUCGGAAGGGGUAAAGACUUGACUCGGGGCAGGGGAAGAAUCAAACGCCAAGUUUACAAGGCUUGACUUGGGCAUGACCUUAAUAUGCCCGCUCUUCUUGGCCUCCUCUUCAAUCUCCAACAUCCUCUUUCUGUGUGUCAUGGGAUCAAACGGGGUAGAAGGAUCCGAUUCAGUCCAAAGAGACAUGGCUGACAGGGGAAUGGCGAGUGCCCCUGCAGAGGUAGGGGUUUUGAGAGGCGCAUCUAAACUGACACUAAGAUCACGCUUAUGGCCCAUAUCAGCGAUGGUGACUUUCUUGAGGCUUCUAAUCUUCUUAAUGGGAACAGGAGGACCUUUAAACCAAGCGUUUGACUUUGGGGGCGCUGAAGUAGCGACAGCCAUGGGGAGAGACACUGGCUCACUUGUAGGCACAGGAGGCGUAUGCGCUUUGAGGGUAGCGGAACCAGCAGGAGACACUUUGCGCUUUGGGGUGGGAGCUGCAACGAUCUCUCUGGGGGGCUCAACCCGAACUGGGGUCUGCGAAAAACGGCUCGCAAAAGCCGGAAGUCCACCCGAUCGAGAUUUAUCAAUGACAUCAGCGUCGACUCUGACAGAAGGGAUAAGAAGAUCUUUGUGGCCAGCCUUGCUCGAGACAGAGAAAGAAUUGUUCAGGGAGAUUGGCUUGCGAUCUCUAGUACAAGAGGAUUUAUCAUCGGUAAGCGGCAGGUCUCGUGGCUUUUUGUCGCUAUUCCCCUGUCAGAUUAAAUACAGUACAUGCACGGACGGAACACGCACUGAAGGAAAGAGCAGUAAUCCCCAUAUUGGCAACGGCCUUCCAUAAAGUCCUUACAAGGAACCGCUUUUGGCGAUGUCAGGUAUAUUGCUAACGGUUAGCAGUAUUACUCACUCUUGUACUUGUUCCUGCUUUUACCACCAACGCCCUUGCCUCCUCCAGACAUCAAGAACAUUUGACCAGUCGCCUCGUGACCGUUUUCAUCCUCAAAUACUACCCUUUCGCCCAUCUCAACGACGUCCAAGUCAAUUCCAUUGCUACCUACUUUCAGCUGUUUGGGUACCUGAUUGAUCUGCUGUUGGGCAAAAGCAAAAGUACCACCAGUCGGGUCAAUGGGACGAGUGGGGGAAAGAAUAGCAUAUUGGGAGAUGUCAUAGGUGGGCAAAGGGGACGUGAGUGAUGACAGAGCAUGAACGAAGCGGCAAGGGCGAGAGGUACACGUAAGGCCUGGGGUGUGGUAAAACUUGCAGAGUAUGACUAUAUCAUCCGUCAGUGUCCAUGUGCUUAUUUAAUCUUUUCAAGGAUAAGAAUAUAGCCACUCACUCUCCUUCUUUGAAACUGAGCUAUUUGCACUAUCCAGCCUGCCGGUAGCAAGUCUGGAAGUUCCGGUAGCAUGGCCAGUUUCCCCGUCAUUCUUGACACCGAUCAUCUUCAUUUCCGCACUCUUCAAUCCAGCUUCUGGUGAUUUGAGCCCAGCACUUCCCAAGCUGGGAGAGAUGGGUACAAUUCCACCAUUAUCCUUGAUAAUUGCGAUGGACAGGCCCCUUUUCUUUGCAACAAGCGCCGCAUUACCAAUUGUGCCAGAGUCAGAAACAACAGUUUUCGCGCUGUUAACUGGAGAGUCCCAGACAGAGGAUGUGUUAUCUGGCAAUGUGGCACUCGCGGACCAAAUGGGCUUAAAACCAGAGGAGGGAUUGCGAGCAAGCGAAGGGGAAAUUGUCAGACCCUUACCUGCAGCCGUAAUGGCAAACUUGGACUGUGAGGAGGGGCUCGAGAGGCUAAUGGCAGGAGAGCCCUGGAAAGACAAGGGUCGGGGUUUAGCUCUGGGUUUGGAAAUGUACUUUUUGUCUGACAACUCAGUCUCGGGCGAGACGGAAAGGGAGCCACGGACCAAACGCUGGGGAAUCUGAUAGAUUGGGGACUUUUGGCCAUUCCCGAUAGCUUCAUUGGAGGAACUCACCCUCCUGGGAGGGUCGACGAUGAGGUCGGCAGCAAGGGACGAGAUGCUCAUUCUCUUCUGAUGAUGACCGUGAACAUGGACAUCUUGAAGAUUAUCGAUGACGCCUUUAUCAUUGGCUGAACCCGAAGACUGGAGAUCACAUCGGUGAGAUAAGAAAGAAGGAGGGGUAGACAAAGCGAUUUGAACAUCAGGAUUAAUGGUGCCUGGUCUACUAUCGUUCAGAGUGGAGGUAGAGUUUGUUGGCAUGAUGACCAAUUGCUACAAUAUGGCAACGGGUCAGUAGAAAGUAUGGCCACAAAGAAGGGCAGAACUUGCAUUUAUGUGUGUUCGUGGCGAAUGUGGGAAUCCAGAAGUAGUGGCAAACGCUCGCGAAGAAUACGAAUACUGCUGUGGUGCGGAUAGGUCGUGAUGUUGUGCGUGUGUGUGUCUCUGAUGGGCGGAUGUUACUCGCUAUUGGCGACAGGUAGAAAUAGGGAAGUAAUGAUUAUAUAUCUGCUCAGGGGGGCUGUCUUGAGCUGAGAUUAGGGAUAUAUGGGCUACCUGAAGGAAAGGUAAGUGUGAGAGGUCAAAUGAAGAUGGU